AUGGCUCGCUAGUUUUACAUUUUCUGAUCAGUUACUGCCACUGAGACCAAGAAACCAGCUUCUUCAAGAGCAUCCAUAGACUGUCUGAAGGCCUUGCAUUAUUGAUUUUCUGCUCAUAGAUUCCAGUUGCUGUCAAUCAUGGGCCAGAUAUACAAGAUGGCAGUUAAUAAGCAAAAGGACGGAGCUCCCAUGAAGACAACAAAAUAAUUCAGGAGAUCUGACUGAAACAGAAAAUGCUAAAAUCCUCAAGAGAAAAGAAAUCAGAUAAGCCUUCCUGGAAAGAAAAGUCCAUGGUCAAACAAAAUGACAUGUUAUCUUUGUAAGGGAGUAUAUUCCUGCCAGGAGAGUGAAGGACCGCCCAGACCUGAAGUUGAUGAACUUGAGAUGAAUUGCAAGGAAAGCCAGUGGCUGCAUGAGAUUAAGAAUACAGAUUAAAGCUAUGGGAAAUCUUAACAGC
rnacentral:lncRNA from 1 species